UUUCAUCCAGUUUCCCCCAGUGGAUCCAUCUUAUGUAACUAUUAUACAAUAUCAAGACCAGGAAACUGAGACUGGCACAAAGUGUGUAUAUUAUAUAGUUCUGUUGUUUUAUCGCAUGUGUAGAUUGCCAUCAGCGUGACACAGAACUAAGCCAUCACCAUGCAGUUACCACUUAGUGUCAUAUCUACUCACCUUACCUCCAGUUAUCUCCAAACCCUGGUAACCACAAAUCUGUUCUCCAUUUCUAUAAUUUUGUCAUUCAAGAAUGUUAUAUAAAUGGAAUCGUACAGUAUAUGACCUUUUGAGAUUAUGUUUUUUCAUUCAGCAUAAAAUCCUGGAGAUCCAUCUAAGUUGUUGUAUGUUUCAAUUAUUUGUUCCUUUUUAUUGCUGGGUAGUAUUCCAACCAAUCCAUCUUCUUUUAUAUUAUUGUGCAUUGAAGGGUUGUGGUCUCCUGAACAGAAGUCUGUCUCCAAACACAAAUCAAGCAGCAAGAUCAUCUGCUGCAGCUGGACAAAUGAUGGUCAGUACCUGGCGCUGGGGAUGUUCAAUGGGAUCAUCAGCA
rnacentral:lncRNA from 1 species